rnacentral:lncRNA from 1 species
CUGCACCAAAAUGGAGGAAGGGUGGCACACUAUACUGCACCAAAAUGGAGGAAGGGUGGCACACUAUACUGCACCAAAAUGGAGGAAGGGUGGCACACUGUACUGCAACAAAAUGGAGGAUGAGUGGCACACUAUACUGCACCGAAAUGGAGGAAGGGUGGCACACUAUACUGCACCAAAAUGGAGGACGAGUGGCACACUGUACUGCAACAAAAUGGAGGAAGGGUGGCACACUAUACUGCACCAAAAUGGAGGACGAGUGGCACACUAUACUGCACCAAAAUGGAGGAUGAGUGGCACACUAUACUGCACCAAAAUGGAGGAUGAGUGGCACACUAUACUGCACCAAAAUGGAGGAAGGGUGGCACACUGUACUGCAACAAAAUGGAGGAUGAGUGGCACACUGUACUGCACCAAGUGUGUGGCCUCUCAUCAGACCUGGGUUGAAUACUGUUUAAAAUAUUUGAUGAAAGUGUUUGACCUGAGCUUGAUUCAGCUUGGAGUGUGUACUUUUGUAACUAUUCUAUUGGUUCAUGGAUUUCACUGUACCUGACUGACUAACUAAAUCAAGUGCAACUGAAAUAUGUAGCAGUAUAAAAUAUAUAUAUAUUUGUCACCAAUACAAUCAAGUAGCUUUUGGUAGGUUAUAUUGUGUUAUCCUUAAAAUGUUUUUGUUGUUGUUGGUCAUUCUAGUAGCUGACCUGUCUGGCCUUGAUCCUCUGCUGAAAGAGGUAGACCAGGAACUUGUUGAGCAUGUCCACAGUCUGAGACGAGAUAUCAGGACCACAGCCUGAGACGAGAUAUCAGGUCCACAGCCUGAGACGAGAUAUCAGGUCCACAGCCUGAGACGAGAUAUCAGGUCCACAGCCUGAGACGAGAUAUCAGGUCCACAGUCUGAGACGAGAUAUCAGGUCCACAGCCUGAGACGAGAUAUCAGGUCCACAGCCUGAGACGAGAUAUCAGGUCCACAGCCUGAGACGAGAUAUCAGGUCCACAGCCUGAGACGAGAUAUCAGGUCCACAGUCUGAGACGAGAUAUCAGGACCACAGCCUGAGACGAGAUAUCAGGUCCACAGCCUGAGACGAGAUAUCAGGUCCACAGCCUGAGACGAGAUAUCAGGUCCACAGUCUGAGACGAGAUAUCAGGUCCACAGCCUGAGACGAGAUAUCAGGUCCACAGCCUGAGACGAGAUAUCAGGUCCACAGCCUGAGACGAGAUAUCUCCUCUAGAGGGAUGGCAGGGUUAUAUUGAGAGAGAGAGAGAGAGAGAGAGAGAGAGAGAGAGAGAGAGAGAGAGAGAGAGAGAGAGAGAGAGAGAGAGAGAGAGAGAGACUGAAUGAUGCAGAAUGCUCUGAGUUGACUGGACUGAAUGAUGCAGAAUGCUCUGAGUUGACUGGACUGAAUGAUGCAGAAUGCUCUGAGUUGACUGGACUGAAUGAUGCAGAAUGCUCUCAGUUGACUGGACUGAAUGAUGCAGAAUGCUCUCAGUUUAAACUUUGAUCAACAAUGACAUUGUUGUGAAUUGUGAAACAGGCCGUUCGUAAAUUCCAAGCAUUAUCAUGUUCCUCAAUUAAUUCAGCGCAUUUCAGCAGUAAGCCUAGGCUAUCGCCACACCCGAGUAGGCUAUAGCGUUGUCAAAUCAUUCAAACGUUGUAAUUAAUGGAAAUCAAAAACAAAAGUCAAUUGACCAAAGUUGAUAAGCUUGAUAACCACCAACCAAAUGACAGAAUGUCUCCUAUUUGGCCAAUUGGAGUUGAUCAUUAUAUAGAUAGCAGAUCAGCUCAUUAAUAACGGAGACAUGAAGAGUGGAAAUAGUAAAAAUAUCAAGGUAUCUUAACGGGGAACAACUGUUUUAAAAAUAUAUCCAUCCCCACUUUCAUACAUUUUGUUGAUCACACAUUCUCUAACGAAGCUCUCAUUGGGACAGCAAUAGGAGACAGUGCAGAGAAGCUCUCAUAGGGACAGCAAUAGGAGACAGUGCAGAGAAGCUCUCAUAGGGACAGCAAUAGGAGACAGUGCAGAGAAGCUCUCAUUGGGACAGCAAUAGGAGACAGUGCAGAGAAGCUCUCAUUGGGACAGCAAUAGGAGACAGUGCAGAGAAGCUCUCAUAGGGACAGCAAUAGGAGACAGUGCAGAGAAGCUCUCAUUGGGACAGCAAUAGGAGACAGUGCAGAGAAGCUCUCAUAGGGACAGCAAUAGGAGACAGUGCAGAGAAGAUCUCACAGGGACAGCAAUAGGAGACAGUGCAGAGAAGAUCUCACAGGGACAGCAAUAGGAGACAGUGCAGAGAAGCUCUCACAGGGACAGCAAUAGGAGACAGUGCAGAGAAGCUCUCACAGGGACAGCAAUAGGAGACAGUGCAGAGAAGCUCUCACAAGGACAGCAAUAGGAGACAGUGCAGAGAAGUGGGGGAAAUGUUAUAGAGGUAUUCUGACAUGCAUAGGCAAGACGUGCUUUGAUAAUGCAACCUGUGGAUUACAGAAUAAAGUUAGGAACUUUCAUGCAAGACAGGAGUCAGGAUUUUGGGGUUCAGUGGGAUUGGGAUGACAGAAAAAUCAAUCUAUGUUCUAUAUGAAGAUAUAAGUGGGAUUGGGAUGACAGGAAAACAGUCUAUGUUCUAAAUAAGGAUGUGCGGCUUCUAGUGUGAGUCAACAUUUGAUUCAGGCUACAUUAUAACACGCUAAAUGUUUUGAAUAAAUGAGCUACCACUUCCACUUGUCCAGCCAGAGAUCAAUUAACCAAAUAUACAGACAGAGACUCAGUGAAACAAAAUCACAUUGAUUGAUUAUCAAGUCACAGAAUUCUGGUAGGAAGUAGGACAGGAUGAAGAGAAAAAUCCACGUGUAUAACACGCUAACAAAAUGUUCUGAUCAGCUAAUAUAUAACACGCUAGCAAAAUGUUCUGAUCAGCUAAUGUAUAAUACGCUAGCAAAAUGUUCUGAUCGGCUAAUAUAUAACAUGCUAACAAAAUGUUCUGAUCAGCUAAUAUAUAACACGCUAGCAAAAUGUUCUGAUCAGCUAAUGUAUAACACGCUAGCAAAAUGUUCUGAUAAGCUAAUGUAUAACACGCUAACAAAAUGUUCUGAUCAGCUAAUGUAUAACACGCUAGCAAAAUGUUCUGAUCGGCUAAUGUAUAACACGCUAACAAAAUGUUCUGAUCGGCUAAUGUAUAACACGCUAACAAAAUGUUCUGAUCAGCUAAUGUAUAACACGCUAACAAAAUGUUCUGAUCAGCUAAUGUAUAACACGCUAGCAAAAUGUUCUGAUCGGCUAAUGUAUAACACGCUAACAAAAUGUUCUGAUCAACAAAGAAUAAAAAUAAAUAAAAAAAUACAUGGUCAUUUUUACAUUGACGUGGGGGAGACGUGACUAAAUCGUAAAUGAAAAAACAUACAGUUCAUGCUAGGACAAAGAACACGCUAGCAAAAUAUUCUGAUCAGCUAAUAUAUGAGCAAACUAGAAAAAAUAUGAUAAUUAGCAAACACCUCAAUUUAGCUAACAUUUCCCCAAUCUAAUUGUUAACAAAUAUCCAAACGGAGAUUCAAUGAAAACAAAGAUGUGACAUGGAUUGAUUUAUCUAGACGAGUCCCCCACACUUGUCAACAUGUAUAAUGUAAGUGACCACACACAACUAUUGCUUUAAAUUAGUAUAACGGUUGGAUAUAAAUCAAAUGUAUUUAUAAAGCCCUUUUUACAUCAGCUGAUGUCUCAAAGUACUGUACAGAAACCCAGUCUAAAACCCCAAACAGCAAGCAAUGCAGGUGUAGGAGCACAGUGGCUAGGAAAAACUCCCUAGAAAGGCCAGAACCUAGGAAAAAACCUAGAGAGGAACCAGGCUAUGAGGGGUGGGCCGGGUGGAGAUUAUAACAGAACAUGGCCAAGAUGUUCAUAGAUGACCAGCAGGGUCAGAUAAUAAUAAUCAUAGUGGUUGUAGAGGGUGCAACAGGUCAGCACCUCAGGAGUAAAUGUCAGUUGGAUUGUCAUAGCCGAGCAUUCAGAGUUAGAGACAGCAGGUGCGGUUGAGAAAGAGAGAGUCGAAAACAGCACGUCCGGGACAAGGUAGCACGUCCGGUGAACAGGUCAGGGUUCCAUAGCCACAGGCAGAACAGUUGAAACUGGAACAGCAGCACGACCAGGUGGACUGGGGACAGCAAGGAGUCAGGUAGUCCUGAGGCAUGGUCCCAGGGCUCAGGUCCUCCGGGAGGGGAGGGAGAGAAUUAGAGGGAGCAGGAGCAUACUUAAAUUCACACAGGACACCGGAUAAGACAGGAGAAAAACUCCAGAUAUAACAGACUGGUCCUAGCCCCCAGUACAUAAACUAUUGCAGCAUAAAUACUGGAGGCUGAGACAGGAGGGGUCGGGAGCCACUGUGGCCCCGUCCGACGAUACCCCCGGACAGGUCCAACCAGGCAGGAUAUAACUCCACACACUUUGCCAAUGCACCAACUUACUACCCUGAGACAAGGCCGAGCAUAGCCCAUGAAGAUCUCCCCCACGGCACAAACCUGGGGGGUGCCAAUCUGGACAGGAAGAUCACGACGGCAUGGAAGAGCACCAGUAAGCCAGUGACUCAGCCCCUGUAAUAGGGUUAGAGGCAGAGAAUCCCAGUGGAGAGAGGGCAACCGGCCAGGCAGAGACAGCAAAGGCAGUUCGUCGUUCCAGUGCCUUUCCAUUCACCUUCACACCCCUGGGUCUUAGGACCUACUGAAGAGAUGAGUCUUCAGUAAAGACUUAAAGGUUGAGACCUUGGGAGUUUCUGUAUAGGCAAGAAUGUGAUACAUGCCUUCAAUUGCAUUAGCCUAUUUCAUUCCAAUUUGUUCAUCAUUCAGUUGAUCAUAACUAAGGGGAGUUUUCCUGUCUCUAAGCUUUUUCAAGGCCCAACGGCUGUUUCCUCAUCUCAAAUCAAAUCAAAUGUAUUUAUAAAGCCCUUCUUACAUCAGCUGAUAUCUCAAAGUGCUAUACAGAAACCCAGCCUAAAACCCCAAACAGCAAGUAAUGCAGGUGUAGAAGCACGGUGGCUAGGAAAAACUCCCUAGAAAGGCCAAAACCUAGGAAGAAACCUAGAGAGGAACCAGGCUAUGAGGGGUGGCCAGUCCUCUUCUGGUUGUGACGGGUGGAGAUUAUAACAGAACAUGGCCAAGAUGUUCAAAUGUUCAUAGAUGACCAGCAGGGUCAAAUAAUAAUAAUCACAGUGGUUGUUGAGGGUGCAACAGGUCAGCACCUCAGGAGUAAAUGUCAGUUGGCUUUUCAUAGCCGAUCAUUGAGAGUAUCUCUACCGCUCUUGCUGUCUCUAGAGAGUUGAAAACAGCAGGUCUGGGACAGGUAGCACGUCCGGUGAACAGGUCAGGGUUCCAUAGCCACAGGCAGAACAUUUGAAACUGGAGCAGCAGCACGACCAGGUGGACUGGGGACAGCAAGGAGUCAUCAUGCUAGGUAGUUCUGAGGCAUGGUCCUAGGGCUCAGGUCCUCCGAGAGAAAGAAAGAGAGAAAGAGAGAAUUAGAGAGAGCAUACUUAAAUUCACACAGGACACCGGAUAAGACAGGAGAAAUACUCCAGAUAUAACAGACUGACCCUAGCCCCCCGACACAUAAACUACUGCAGCAUAAAUACUGGAGGCUGAGACAGGAGGGGUUAGGAGACACUGUGGCCCCGUCCGAUGAUACCCCCGGACAGGGCCAAACAGGCAGGAUGUCUGUCUCCCCACUCCGCUGUAGCUCGCCUCCGCCACGUUGUUCUCAACACCAGUUUAAAUCAAUAUAGCCUACUGUUUUAUAGAAAUCUGGAUUUUUUGGAGGGGGUUCGGGCUCAUUUCAAUUCUGUGAUGUCGGGUCAGGGCUCAGGAUUCAGAUUCUUUGUCAGUCUGCUGUGAAGAGUGGUCUCGGGAUCCCGGUUACCGGUGUUAAUCCCUAGCCAGGCGGAAAGAUAAUGUUUCAGCAUCUAUAACUCAUGGGGGGGUAAAGAUAAUGUUUCAGCAUCUAUAACUCAUGGAGGAGGGGGGUAAAGAUAAUGUUUCAGCAUCUACAACUCAUGGAGGAGGGGGGGUAAAGAUAAUGUUUCAGCAUCUAUAACUCAUGGAGGAGAUACAGUAGGGUAAAUCCAUUUGAAUUUUGACAACUUUUUGACAGCACCUCGUUUGAUUUGAACAAAGACACAUAACUGUCCACGUGGGUCGCUACAAUAUAUUUUAAGGAAUAUAUAUAUGUUUUUGGAUGAUUCCCAAUGCUGCCUUGUUGACAACAUGACCGAGCGGUGCAGAUUACGGUCCGAUUGUAACGCCACUCCUCCCUCAUCGCUAUAUCAAACUAGCUAAUAAAUCAUGUUAUCAAUAAUGUGGUAGCUAGCUAAUACAGUAAGCUACCUUUCCAAUGCAAGAGUCUUCCCUGUGGCUCAGUUGGUAGAGCAUGGUGUUUGCAACGCCAGCAUGGUGUGUGCAACGCCAGGGUUAUGGGUUUCAUUCCCACGGGGGGGCCAGUAUAAAAUGUAUGCAUUCACUACUGUAAGUCGCUCUGGAUAAGAGUGUCUGCUAAAUGACUAAAAUGUAAAUUUAAGAGAAUAGUUUGCUCUAGAUUUACAUUGACCAGUGUUGUCAUGGAGUGACCGUAAUGGCAGACUGCAAUGUCAUGCUGAAUCAGAUAGAGGGCGCUGUGGUAUCAAUGUAGGAGCAGAGAUACAACAAUCACAUUUGUUUGGUUAUAACACAUAACUUUGGUAGUAUCUAUUUUUUAUUACCAGAAAGUGGAAAACCUCUUGCUCGUACCGAUGUCUUUGAGUACGUUUUUACAUGCGCACUAAUAAUUGUAUAUUAAACCGAUAGGCCAAGUUAGGAACUAGUCAUUUAAACACCUUACUCAAAUCAAACUUUGUGUCACAUGCGCCGAAUAUAACGUGUACAUCUUACCGUGAAAUGCUCACUUACAAGCCCUUAACAACAGUGCAGUUCAAGAAAGUUAAGAAAAUAUUUACCAAAUAAACUAAAGUAAAAAAAUAUAAAAACUCUGCUUAUCUUAAUCGGCGUAAAGUCAAAAGGUCAGGUCAAAAUCGAAGUAAACCGAUUACUCAGAAACCCAGGUGUUUUAAUGUCACAGAGGAAGAGGCGAAGCGAGAGGUUUCACUCUCACUAAAAAUAAACCCAAUG